GGGCGCAAGCCUGAUGCAGCGACGCCGCGUGAGGGAUGGAGGCCUUCGGGUUGUAAACCUCUUUUAUCGGGGAGCAAGCGAGAGUGAGUUUACCCGUUGAAUAAGCACCGGCUAACCACGUGCCAGCAGCCGCGGUAAUACGUAGGGUGCAAGCGUUAUCCGGAAUUAUUGGGCGUAAAGGGCUCGUAGGCGGUUCGUCGCGUCCGGUGUGAAAGUCCAUCGCUUAACGGUGGAUCCGCGCCGGGUACGGGCGGGCUUGAGUGCGGUAGGGGAGACUGGAAUUCCCGGUGUAACGGUGGAAUGUGUAGAUAUCGGGAAGAACACC
rnacentral:rRNA from 1 species